GUUGUAAGAACUUUCGAAACCGGCUGCAAGCAUCCUCGAAAUAAUAAACAGCCGUCUGACGGCUCGGAAAAACACGUCACUACAAUAUCCUGUUUAUUUCUACAAGGUAUGGCAUUUUGGUCAAAACCAAACCUCACUUUAUAUUACAAUUAAUCAAGAGCAUCUUUCCUCUAACAUGUAGGUAAAUCUGUGCUCUUUAUUUUACAGAUAAUGACUUUGUUCAGUCUCAAAGCAUGAAGCGAGAGUGACAUUUACUGAGUCACUCAUCUCAUGUCUCCUGGUGUCAUUCCUGUAUACAAUCACAUAUUUCUGGUCAGCUUAGUCAUCUGAC